UACGUAGGGGGCUAGCGUUGUCCGGAAUUAUUGGGCGUAAAGCGCACGUAGGCGGCUUUGCAAGUCCCAUGUGAAAUCCCACGGCUCAACCGUGGAAGUGCAUGGGAAACUGCAGAGCUUGAGUACUUAAGAGGAUCGCGGAAUUCCCGGUGUAGAGGUGAAAUUCGUAGAUAUCGGGAGGAACACCAGUGGCGAAGGCGGCGAUCUGGGAAGAUACUGACGCUGAGGUGCGAAAGCGUGGGGAGCAAACAGG
rnacentral:rRNA from 1 species